rnacentral:rRNA from 1 species
UACAGAGGUCUCAAGCGUUGUUCGGAUUCAUUGGGCGUAAAGGGUGCGUAGGCGGCGCGGUAAGUCGGGUGUGAAAUCUCGGGGCUUAACUCCGAAACUGCCUUUGAUACUUCCAAUCUUGAGUUAAAGAGAGGUUGAUGGAAUUUCAGGUGUAGCGGUGAAAUGCGUAGAUAUCUGAAAGAACACCAGUGGCGAAGGCGGUCAACUGGCUUUUAACUGACGCUCAGGCACGAAAGCGUGGGUAGCGAACAGG